CCCCAGACAGGGGCAAUCCAGGAUAAAGAGAAGACGGUGCCAGAGUCAUGCCAGCCGGGAUUGUUCUCUCGCCCCGGAUUCACUACAGAACUAAGAGUCCCCCAUGCUGGUCCUCUCAGGCCAUCUGGAGUUGGGAAAAGCAGACGGAAGCAAGGCCAGGCCCCCUGUCGACGAUGCACCCUUCCCGUGGCUGCCAGAAAAUCUCUCGAGGUGGAAAUCUGCUCACAUAUCUCCCUGCCCACCGUCCACCAUGGGCUUCUGCCUGCCUGGGGGGAAAAAACCCCUGUCCUUAUCUGGGUGAACCAGGGCCCUCCAUACUCUGUCCUGCCCGGAAGCACAUUUCUCUCCCUCCCCUCCGGUCUUACAGCCCAAGCCCUGUCACGCCAACCUUCUCUGCAUUCGGGGAACGCAGUAUAUCCUUCCCAAACUUCUCCCUUGGCACAUGCUGUGCCCUCUUUCUGGAAUGCCCUUCCCUUCUGCCUUGGGCAAGGGCAGAGGUGGCAGGGAGGAGGUUUGGAUAUCCCAUGGAGUUUGGGCUGGAUCCUUUUGCCUGGUGAUUCUCAAACAUUGUCACGUGACAAAGCUCCUAUAACACACCGGUCCUUUUCAGGACACCACAGACUCUUGAUACUUUUAAGAGACAGGCCUCUUUGAUACAGGACUGCCAUGUUCCUUAGGCACACACAGCUCUCGACACAUAUAUGAUGUUUUUAAUAAAACACACUUCCAAGUUGUUCA